rnacentral:misc_RNA from 1 species
GGGUUGCUCGGCGUUGGUCCUGGAAAUUUAUCUUUAGUGGCUCAAACUGACACGGGCUAUUUUAGAGUCUUUUGUUACUGUCUUCCAGCAUCAGAGAACUCUGCUGGGUAUCUUUCGUUUGGUGUUCAAGCAUUUGAAAAUUGUCAACCUGAUGAAAAUAAGUUGAUACCAAUCUCACUUGGUUUAAACCAAAACGCAUAUAGUUAUUUUGUGACCCUUACAGGCAUAACAAUUGGCCAACAGAGAUUAGACAUAUCUGGCAAUGUAUCUUCACCACUAAAAGCCAUUAUAGACUCAGGAACCUCCAUCUCUCGCCUACCAUUUUCCUUGUAUUCUGCCCUUCGCCAAGCAUUUCGGAGAUUGAUGUCCCAAUACCCUACUGCUUCUCCAUCGCAAAAUUUCGAUACAUGCUAUAACCUUGAGGGGCAAAACAAUUGGACACCACCAAAAAUGGUGCUACAUUUUGAAGGUGUGGAUCUAGAUUUGGACCCAUCAGCGGUUACAUUCAGAGAGAAGGAUAAUAAUGCUCAGGUUUGCUUGGCUUUUAUGGCAAACGAAAAUGAUAGUGACUUAACAAUAAUAGGUAAUCAACAACACCGCGAGAUGAACGUUUUCUUUGACAUCAGUAAUCAAAAGUUGGCAUUUACAAGCGGUGGUUGCUCAAAUUGGUAACCGGCAAAUCAUUGCCAAAAUCCUACUAGUUACUAUGAGCUAAUCAGCUGAUCCAAUCUGCUCAUUUUGCUUCUGUUUUAUAAGUGUAUUAUAAUAAUUAGUCCUUUCCCAUUAGUAAUGGGUUCACUUGCAU